rnacentral:rRNA from 1 species
GAUGAACGCUGGCGGCGUGCCUCAAACAUGCAAGUCGAGCGGGGCUAUGUUGGACCGUAAGGGAAGAUAUAGCCUAGCGGCGAACGGGUGAGUAACACGUGGGUAACCUACCUGGAAGACAGGGAUAACGAUUCGAAAGGGUCGCUAAUACCUGAUAAUAUCUAACAGCCGGAUGGCAGUUAGAAGAAAGGGGAAACCCGCUUUCAGAUGGGCCCGCGUCCCAUCAGCUAGUUGGUAAGGUAAAGGCUUACCAAGGCGACGACGGGUAGCCGGUCUGAGAGGAUGUACGGCCACACUGGGACUGAGAUACGGCCCAGACUCCUACGGGAGGCAGCAGUUGGGAAUCUUAGGCAAUGGGCGAAAGCCUGACCUAGCGACGCCGCGUGAGGGAAGAAGGCCUUCGGGUCGUAAACCUCUGUCAUGGGGGACGAAGGAAGUGACGGUACCCCAAGGAGGAAGCCCCUAGCUAACUACGUG